UAUGUGAUCGUCUCUCGCAUAUCAAUAAGCGGAGGAAAAGAAACUAACAAGGAUUCCCUUAGUAACGGCGACGUGAAGCGGGAAGAGCUCAAAUUUGAAAUCUUCAAGGUUUUACCUUGACGAAUUGUAGUUUAAAGAAGUGUUUUCUGUUGAAGUUUUGGUAAAAGUUCUUUGGAAUAGGACAUCAUAGAGGGUGAGAAUCCCGUAUUUGACCAUUAUUUUCAGCUGUGUGAUACACUUUCAAAGAGUCGGAUUGUUUGGGAAUGCAGUCCAAAUGGGUGGUAAAUUUCAUCUAAAGCUAAAUAUUGGCGAGAGACCGAUAGCGAACAAGUACCGUGAGGGAAAGAUGAAAAGAACUUUGAAAAGAGAGUUAAACAGUACGUGAAAUUGUCAAAAGGGAAGCGUUUGACACCAGUGUUGUUUUCUCGAAAAUCAAUUAAAAAGAGUUAGAUUUUGUUGUGUAUUGACCUUAACAGCUUGCAUUUCAAUUUUCUUGCUUUUUUUAAUGCACUUUUCGUUUAACAAGUCAACAUCAGUUUCUUUUGUUGUAAAAAGGUCAUUGGAAGGUGGCUUUCUUUUCGGAGAAAGUGUUUAUAGCCUUUGACUCCUGCAAUCGGAGAGACUGAGGUCUGCAGCGUAGAUCCUUCGGGGUUAGAUACAUUUGUGCUAAGUUAUAGCUUUUUAUAGACAACUUGUUGACUAUGAUUAGUCUUGUAGCUUACUCGCUUAUGCUAUUUUACCUACGCUUAGGAUGUUGAAGAUGUAGCACAUCAU
rnacentral:rRNA from 1 species